rnacentral:rRNA from 1 species
UACGUAGGGCGCAAGCGUCGUCCGGAAUUAUUGGGCGUAAAGAGCUCGUAGGCGGCUUGUCACGUCGAUUGUGAAAGCCCGAGGCUUAACCUCGGGUCUGCAGUCGAUACGGGCUAGCUAGAGUGUGGUAGGGGAGAUCGGAAUUCCUGGUGUAGCGGUGAAAUGCGCAGAUAUCAGGAGGAACACCGGUGGCGAAGGCGGAUCUCUGGGCCAUUACUGACGCUGAGGAGCGAAAGCGUGGGGAGCGAACAGG